rnacentral:rRNA from 1 species
AGAGUUUGAUCCUGGCUCAGGAUGAACGCUAGCUACAGGCUUAACACAUGCAAGUCGAGGGGCAGCAUGGUCUUAGCUUGCUAAGACUGAUGGCGACCGGCGCACGGGUGAGUAACACGUAUCCAACCUGCCGUCUACUCUUGGACAGCCUUCUGAAAGGAAGAUUAAUACAAGAUGGCAUCAUGAGUCCGCAUGUUCACAUGAUUAAAGGUAUUCCGGUAGACGAUGGGGAUGCGUUCCAUUAGAUAGUAGGCGGGGUAACGGCCCACCUAGUCUUCGAUGGAUAGGGGUUCUGAGAGGAAGGUCCCCCACAUUGGAACUGAGACACGGUCCAAACUCCUACGGGAGGCAGCAGUGAGGAAUAUUGGUCAAUGGGCGAGAGCCUGAACCAGCCAAGUAGCGUGAAGGAUGACUGCCCUAUGGGUUGUAAACUUCUUUUAUAAAGGAAUAAAGUCGGGUAUGCAUACCCGUUUGCAUGUACUUUAUGAAUAAGGAUCGGCUAACUCCGUGCCAGCAGCCGCGGUAAUACGGAGGAUCCGAGCGUUAUCCGGAUUUAUUGGGUUUAAAGGGAGCGUAGAUGGAUGUUUAAGUCAGUUGUGAAAGUUUGCGGCUCAACCGUAAAAUUGCAGUUGAUACUGGAUAUCUUGAGUGCAGUUGAGGCAGGCGGAAUUCGUGGUGUAGCGGUGAAAUGCUUAGAUAUCACGAAGAACUCCGAUUGCGAAGGCAGCCUGCUAAGCUGCAACUGACAUUGAGGCUCGAAAGUGUGGGUAUCAAACAGGAUUAGAUACCCUGGUAGUCCACACGGUAAACGAUGAAUACUCGCUGUUUGCGAUAUACAGCAAGCGGCCAAGCGAAAGCGUUAAGUAUUCCACCUGGGGAGUACGCCGGCAACGGUGAAACUCAAAGGAAUUGACGGGGGCCCGCACAAGCGGAGGAACAUGUGGUUUAAUUCGAUGAUACGCGAGGAACCUUACCCGGGCUUAAAUUGCAGAUGAAUUACGGUGAAAGCCGUAAGCCGCAAGGCAUCUGUGAAGGUGCUGCAUGGUUGUCGUCAGCUCGUGCCGUGAGGUGUCGGCUUAAGUGCCAUAACGAGCGCAACCCUUGUUGUCAGUUACUAACAGGUUCCGCUGAGGACUCUGACAAGACUGCCAUCGUAAGAUGUGAGGAAGGUGGGGAUGACGUCAAAUCAGCACGGCCCUUACGUCCGGGGCUACACACGUGUUACAAUGGGGGGUACAGAGGGCCGCUACCACGCGAGUGGAUGCCAAUCCCCAAAACCUCUCUCAGUUCGGACUGGAGUCUGCAACCCGACUCCACGAAGCUGGAUUCGCUAGUAAUCGCGCAUCAGCCACGGCGCGGUGAAUACGUUCCCGGGCCUUGUACACACCGCCCGUCAAGCCAUGGGAGCCGGGGGUACCUGAAGUGCGUAACCGCGAGGAGCGCCCUAGGGUAAAACUGGUGACUGGGGCUAAGUCGUAACAAGGUAGCCGUACCGGAAGGUGCGGCUG